UACGGGGGGGGCAAGCGUUGUUCGGAAUUACUGGGCGUAAAGGGCUCGUAGGUGGCCAACUAAGUCAGACGUGAAAUCCCUCGGCUUAACCGGGGAACUGCGUCUGAUACUGGAUGGCUUGAGUUCGGGAGAGGGAUGCGGAAUUCCAGGUGUAGCGGUGAAAUGCGUAGAUAUCUGGAGGAACACCGGUGGCGAAGGCGGCAUCCUGGACCGACACUGACACUGAGGAGCGAAGCCAGGGGAGCAAACGGG
rnacentral:rRNA from 1 species